CAGGCCGCCUGCCUGGGAGAAAAACCUGUAGCCAGGGAAGAAGGAGAAAGAAGGGCUUGGAGGAGCUGAUGGAGGGGACUGGAAAGGACAGGGGGUCCGAAGAAUGAGGCAGAGGAGUUCAAGGAACACCAGCCAGAUUCCGGGGCCUGCCUGUUGGGUUCAGAUUCUGAGCCACUCCACGUUCCCCCUGCCAGUCUCGGAGCUUCAGAUGGCCCACACUGGGAAUGGCAACUCCCACCUCUGGAAAUCAUCAAGGGAAGCAGGGUUGAGGGCAGACUCCACUGCCGAGGAAGAGAAGAACUUGGAGAGGCUGACUAUGAAGGGGCAGGUGGCUCUUAGGCUGAAGCAGCUGGAAGCAUUUUGAACCACAGAAGCCUGAGAAGAGGCUGCAUGGGAGGGGCAGCGUCCUUCUGCUCUCCUGAGGUGACCUACAUCUGCGUGAAGAAAGAAAGGAGAAAACGAGUUUCGCCCCCUAACACUCCCCUUUCUGCUGCGCGUGGGAGCUCAGCCCAGGUUGACUGCAGUUACUGGCCCUGUAGAAACCUCUUUAUGAAUCAUACAUGAGGGAGAGAAGAAAGAGGGCAGCCAAUUCGACUCCGCACUUCACAGCACGCAGGAGGCUUGCAGGUUGCUUUCAAGAGCUGUGGGCCUUGAGGCAAAGCUGUUUAUGAGAAGCAGGGGACUUUGUAGUGGCUUCACCAGGAGCCAGCGGCUUACUUGCUUCACUUGUUAGAGACCUGCAUGUGGAGGGCCAGGAGCCCUUGUCACUGUGUGUGUUCUGGGAAAGGCUCUGACGAGAUGGGUCUGUUGGGAAGUUGUGAGAACGCAACACUAAGACUCACUGCUUCUGGCUUGCACAUGGGGACUGGGAGAGGCUGGGAAGCAGCUUAGGGAAAAAAAAAUCACAGAAGCCGGGCGAUGGUGGCGCACGCCUCUAAUCCCAGCACUCGGGAGGCAGAGGCAGGCGGAUCUCUGUGAGUUCGAGACCAGCCUGGUCUACAGAGCUAGUUCCAGGACAGGCUCCAAAGCCGCAGAGAAACGCUGUCUUGAAAAAAACAAAACAAAACAAAACAAAAAAUCACAGAAGUAUCCCUGGUAAUAUCCCUAGUCUUCAAUGUUUUAUCUGUGAAAUGGGUGUGUGCAAGGCUGACUCCUUUCCUGACAAGACCCUUUCUUUCCUUUACACUUUUUUUUUGGUGGUCAUGGUAAGUGGUUUGGUGAAAAUAUGGUGAAGGGAGAAGGCAGAGAAGGGGCAGUGGGGCAGUGCAAUGUCAAGGGCACCGCAGGGGUGAAUCACCUUAGACAGACACACAAAGCCAUCCAGGGGCUGGGCUUCUGGGCAGGAUCCAAAAUGGUAGAAGAGGGCUGGGGAGAUGGUUCACUGGGUAAGAGCACCUGUUCUGCAAGCACGAGGAGCUGCCUGAGUUCAAAUCGACAAAACCCAUGGAAAAAGAGCUAGGCAUGGCUGUGUAUGCUCGGAACCCAGCCUGGGAGGUUGGACAGGCUGAUCCUGAGAGUGUGCUAGGCUUCCAGCCUACCUGAAAUGGCCUGCUCCUGGUUCUGUGAGAGAUCCUACCUCAAUGUGCCAGAUUUCCUGCUCUGGCCGCUGUGUACGUGCAUGGGUGUGCACACCUGCACACUCACGAGCAUGCAGUGCACCAUGUUACAUAAAACAGCAGGACCAGCUGUCUUUUGCUCCUACCAUGGUGCCUUUCCUGCCACGCGUUCCUUUGACCUGUGAACCCAAAGAAACUUCCCCAGGAAGCUGGUUUUUGUGAGAUCACAUUGAAAAGAAAAAUAACCGACAAACAUCUCAGUCUUGAUCAGGGAACACAAAUGUGUCCCGCGUUGUAGGACAGCAUCCCUAGGGCUGGUAAGUCCUGAGUGGCACCCAGGACUCAGGCCAUCGUGCAGAUCCCAGGUGACGUCACAGCAAGCAGAUUUAAAGCAGAAUACAUGCAGGGGAAGAUGGCAAAGGGGUGGAAAGUUAAGGAAGCAGAGUGCAAGAUCCCAACAGUGCCUUUCCCAGAAUGGCUUCACUGCCCCAACAAGGAUGUGUAAGGACCCUGCAGCGCUGACCACCAGUGAAGCCCAUCAGAGAACUUGGACUCUAUGGGCUCGUCCACAAAGUACGAGCUGUGUGUAUGUGUGUGUGUGUGUUAAAGCUGGGGGUAAAGAGAAGAGGAAAGGAAGAGGUGCUGGAAAAGGGAAAUUUAAUUAAGAAGUGAAUGACCCAACUGAGCCCCAAGUUCUAAGAAGUCAGAGAGGACCAUUAUUUUCAGAAGAGACAACAAACUCCGCGAAGGCCCUGUGGCAGAAGAGCAGGAGGUGGUCCCAGAUUUCCCAGAGGAAAAAAAAAAUGGGAGGAAAGGAAGCUGAGAACAUUCUGGGUCUGGAAAGGGGUUUGACUUUCCUUUUUUUAGCUCAAGGGAUAAGAAAAGGUGGCAAGGAGACUGAGGGGAACAGCCAAAAGGACUGAGAGGGGGGAAGACUUCUAUUUUGGAAAAUGAUCGAAGCUUCUGCCUGGAGAGGACCUAGGCAGAGACAGGAGGGAAGCAAGGAGUGUGUGGCACUACUGACUGACAAUCCAGCCCUUACUUUGGAGAGGAGAUGCCUGGGGAGGAGAAGGAAGUCUCUUCAGUGUUUGCUGACCUCCACCCUUGUAGAAGGAAAAAAAAAAAAAAGAAUAAAGGACUUGGGAGAAAGAAACACUUCCUGUUUCUAGUCUUUAAAAUGGUGCAAGAACUCCAAAGGAAGAAGAGCCCAACAUGGGAAGGCAAGCACAGUGCCCUUUGAAAAGUUUUAAUUUUAUUUUAACUUUGCUAAAUCUACUUACAUUCACAUUUGGAAAUAUGUAUGCACGAUAAACCACUGCAGUUAUGGUCUAUUGGGUUAAAAACCCACUUUUUGGAAUAGGUUCAAGGGAAUACUUAUAUAAAAGUCCUUGGAACGGAAAGCAAUUCCGUAGAUAAAACAGAAUAGCAACAUCUCCCAAAUAUGCCCCUUGCAAGAUAAAUGCACGCGAGGAGGGGUCUGGAGGCUUCACUAAUGGGAGAUUCGUGACAGUCAGCCCCUAAAUCUCUCAGGGAACCAGCUGGGAAGGGAAGUGGCUGGCUCGUCCUUGCCUUGGUCUUCACACUUCUCCAAGGGGCUUGCUUCUUCCUUUCAUGAUUUACUAGGAACCAAAAAAAACCAAGCCCCCCAAUUGGAAGCAGUGAAAUUCCAUUCAAGCGGGAUGCUCACAGUGCACGGGGCAACCGUGCUGUUUAUUUUGUGAAGUUCUAGACAAAGAGAGAGAGAGAAAUAAAAAAAAAAAAAGAA